UACGGAGGGGGCUAGCGUUGUUCGGAAUUACUGGGCGUAAAGCGCACGUAGGCGGCUUUGUAAGUUAGAGGUGAAAUCCCCGGGCUUAACCUGGGAAUGGCAUUUGGGACUGCAAGGCUUGAGUGCGGCAGAGGAGACUGGAAUUCCUGGUGUAGCAGUGAAAUGCGUAGAUAUCAGGAGGAACACCGAUGGCGAAGGCAGGUCUCUGGGCUGACACUGACGCUCAUGCACGAAAGCGUGGGGAGCAAACAGG
rnacentral:rRNA from 1 species